rnacentral:rRNA from 1 species
CCCUUAGAGUUUGAUCCUGGCUCAGAUUGAACGCUGGCGGCAGGCCUAACACAUGCAAGUCGAGCGGUAGCACAGAGAGCUUGCUCUCGGGUGACGAGCGGCGGACGGGUGAGUAAUGUCUGGGAAACUGCCUGAUGGAGGGGGAUAACUACUGGAAACGGUAGCUAAUACCGCAUAAUGUCGCAAGGCCAAAGUGGGGGACCUUCGGGCCUCAUGCCAUCAGAUGUGCCCAGAUGGGAUUAGCUAGUAGGUGGGGUAACGGCUCACCUAGGCGACGAUCCCUAGCUGGUCUGAGAGGAUGACCAGCCACACUGGAACUGAGACACGGUCCAGACUCCUACGGGAGGCAGCAGUGGGGAAUAUUGCACAAUGGGCGCAAGCCUGAUGCAGCCAUGCCGCGUGUGUGAAGAAGGCCUUCGGGUUAUAAAGCACUUUCAGCGGGGAGGAAGGCGUUAAGGUUAAU